rnacentral:rRNA from 1 species
GAUGAACGCUGGCGGCGUGCCUAAUACAUGCAAGUCGAGCGAACAGAUAAGGAGCUUGCUCCUUUGACGUUAGCGGCGGACGGGUGAGUAACACGUGGGUAACCUACCUAUAAGACUGGAAUAACUCCGGGAAACCGGGGCUAAUGCAGGAUAAAAUGUUGAACCGCAUGGUUCUACAGUGAAAGGCGGCUUUGCUGUCACUUAUAGAUGGACCCGCGCCGUAUUAGCUAGUUGGUGAGGUAACGGCUCACCAAGGCAACGAUACGUAGCCGACCUGAGAGGGUGAUCGGCCACACUGGAACUGAGACACGGUCCAGACUCCUACGGGAGGCAGCAGUAGGGAAUCUUCCGCAAUGGGCGAAAGCCUGACGGAGCAACGCCGCGUGAGUGAUGAAGGUCUUCGGAUCGUAAAACUCUGUUAUUAGGGAAGAACAAAUGCGUAAGUAACUGUGCGCGUCUUGACGGUACCUAAUCAGAAAGCCACGGCUAACUACGUG